UACAGAGGGUGCAAGCGUUAAUCGGAAUUACUGGGCGUAAAGCGUGCGUAGGCGGUAUCUUAAGUCGGGUGUGAAAGCCCCGGGCUCAACCUGGGAAUUGCAUUCGAGACUGCUCUGCUAGGGUGCGGAAGAGGGGAGCGGAAUUUCCGGUGUAGCGGUGAAAUGCGUAGAUAUCGGAAGGAACACCAGUGGCGAAGGCGGGUCUCUGGGCAGUAACUGACGCUGAGGAGCGAAAGCGUGGGGAGCGAACAGG
rnacentral:rRNA from 1 species